UUGUCUGCACUCUUACGUAGACAAAUAUCCCAAUUCAUUGAGCUGUAAACCAAAGAUUUCAAAAUGAUAAAUAUUUACUUGUGGUGAUAUUUAAACUCCUCAGCCCUUUGUUGUCGGGGAUGUGACGAAUUUCCCAAUGCUCUGGCUUGGUGCUUUCUUUGUUGUGUUUCUGUCUCUGUUUAUUUGACAGGUUGUUGUAAGGUUCUGUCCUGUGUGUUUUAAUGUUCCCCACUCAGGACUAAGGAUAAAUGACUCCGCCAUUUAUUGCGCAGAUUGAUAUUUUAUAGCGUUAUAGAUAUAUUUUAUUAAGGGCACUGGAAGUUUUUGAUGACCCUUCAGAAUAUUAAGCGAUAUCGCGUUUUGAAAAGGGUCGCGCUCUGACGUUUGGGGAACCAAUAAAAUUAUUUGCAAAGUACAAAAUGUUUGAAUAAAGUAUAAUUAAAACCACAAAUAUGUCUUUAAAUGCAAAGUGGGUCUGAAUUUGUUUAAAAAAUAUCUCUAAAUCAAGUUUUACUUUUAUUUGAAACAUGCAUGGCUGUGUUCGAGAUGCUUUUGUCUAGAUGAUCCAUACCUUUUGUAAUAAAUGUACAAAAUAUGUAAUAAAUAUUAAUUUUUCUUUACUUCAAAGAGACGCGGUAACUGCAACUUGUGGUACAUCCAUGUAUACUAUAAGUACUUGUGUUCAGCCUCAGAGUCCGCUGUGUUUAGGUUCAUUGAAAUUUUCUAGCUUCUUCAAAAACUCUAUCAUGCAGCAUGCAAGUGAAACGACUUUGUACCAAGUUUAAUUUGAGCAAAUAAUACACUCAAUUGUAUUCCGUUUUCUCCUCCCAUACAUUUUCAACAAUCCAUAACUUAAAUAUUUCCACUCGCCGUUUACAUGUGUCUAAGCUCUUUUAACGGAAUGGAUCUUGAAAUGUAAUAAAAAUAACAGAAUA
rnacentral:sRNA from 1 species